CUCAAACACUUCCCCCACCCCUCCAUUGGCGAUGAGCGCUGGGGGACACCGACCCGCUGCGGCCCUCUGACCCUUCACUUCUUCUUCUCUGUCUUUUUAACAUGGAAAACGACGACCAGUGUCAGUCAGGGGGGAACAUGCUGAGAUCCAACAAGAUGGUAAACAUGAAUAAGGAACUGGUUUGGCAGUGAAUCCCCACUGGAACAAGGAAAUACCUGUGAUUGAAU